rnacentral:rRNA from 1 species
UACAGAGGUCUCAAGCGUUGUUCGGAAUUACUGGGCAUAAAGGGUGCGUAGGCGGCUUGUUAAGUCAGGGGUGAAAGUUUUCGGCCCAACCGGAAAAUUGCCUUUGAUACUGGCGAGCUGGAGUGCGUGAGGGGUGACCGGAACGAGUGGUGUAGCGGUGAAAUGCGUAGAUAUCACUCGGAAGGCCAACGGCGAAGGCAGGUCACUGGUGCGCAACUGACGCUGAGGCACGAAAGCGUGGGGAGCAAACAGG